rnacentral:miRNA from 1 species
UGAGUGAUGCACCCUGGAAUC